UCCGACAUUAGGCCCCGUUUACACAGGACGGUGGCAGUUGUGAGUCUGUCGUGUGGUUUAAAACGUACCUGAUCCACAGAGGUGAAGCAAAAACAGCUUUCUGUGUAACUGCUUCAGCGGCCCUUGUGCGUGU